rnacentral:tRNA from 1 species
AAGUUAGUAAGCUAAAAGCUUUAUAUCUUGAAAAUAUAAAAUUAGAAAAUAAAUAUUCUACUAACUUAAAAAAUU